CUUGGGUUCAGAUCCCUCCAAGGGAAGCAAACUAGUACACUGGGUGUAGGGAAGGGUGAUUGAAAUCACUGAGGCAGACUAUGGAACAGAUGCUCUUUUUCCUUUGCCAGAGCUGCUCCUGCUUGGACAGUGUUGUGGACUAGCUCUGACUGUGGAUUACAACUUUGGAAGACUUUAUCGGACUUACAGUCGAACAGUUAAGGACAGUGUUUUAUGGACCUUAUAUUCUGCUGACUUUAAACGCUAUUUGCAUUCAAUAAACCGCUUG
rnacentral:lncRNA from 11 species